rnacentral:piRNA from 1 species
UNGGCAAGUGGAAGCAGGGUUGUCAGAAGC